AUUGAACGCUGGCGGCAGGCCUAACACAUGCAAGUCGAGCGGGGUUUUCGGACCUAGCGGCGGACGGGUGAGUAAUGCGUAGGAAGCUACCCGAUAGAGGGGGAUACCAGUUGGAAACGACUGUUAAUACCGCAUAAUGUCUACGGACCAAAGUGCGGGACCUUCGGGCCACAUGCUAUCGGAUGUGCCUACGUGGGAUUAGCUAGUUGGUGAGGUAAUGGCUCACCAAGGCGACGAUCCCUAGCUGGUUUGAGAGGAUGAUCAGCCACACUGGAACUGAGACACGGUCCAGACUCCUACGGGAGGCAGCAGUGGGGAAUAUUGGACAAUGGGCGCAAGCCUGAUCCAGCCAUGCCGCGUGUGUGAAGAAGGCCUUCGGGUUGUAAAGCACUUUCAGUAAGGAGGAAGCGUUGAGUGUUAAUAGUACUCAGCGUUGACGUUACUUACAGAAGAAGCACCGGCUAACUCUGUGCCAGCCGCCGCGGUAAGAC
rnacentral:rRNA from 1 species